rnacentral:rRNA from 1 species
UACAGAGGUCUCAAGCGUUGUUCGGAUUCAUUGGGCGUAAAGGGUGCGUAGGUGGUGAUGCAAGUCUGGUGUGAAAUCUCGGAGCUCAACUCCGAAAUUGCACCGGAUACUGCGUCACUCGAGGACUGUAGAGGAGAUCGGAAUUCACGGUGUAGCAGUGAAAUGCGUAGAUAUCGUGAGGAAGACCAGUUGCGAAGGCGGAUCUCUGGGACAGUUCCUGACACUGAGGCACGAAGGCCAGGGGAGCAAACGGGA